UAUUUACUAUAAAAAUAAUUUUGUUAAUUUUUUUGUAUUAUUUAAUUUAUUUAUAGUAUUUUUUGAAGUAAUAUAAAUUUAAGAAAUCUGUUAAGGUGUUAUUAAUAGAUUUGUAGGUUUAUUUUUUAGUACCUUUCGUAUCAGGGUGUAUUAAGUAGUUUAAUUAGUUUUUUAUCCCGAAUUAAGAAGUUCAAUUUUCUUAUUGAUUUAUUUGUUUAAUAAAAUUUUAUAAUAAAAUUAAAGUAAUUAGAUGUUAGUCGUUUUUUAUAUAUCUGGUUAUUAAGGAUUUAAUUUAAUUAUAUAUUUUUUUGUAGGUUUUAUUCAUUUAACUUAAAAUGGUAUUUUAUUAUGGAUAAUCUUAAUAAAUUUAUUACAAUAUAAAAUUUUUGGUUUAUAUUUUCUUUUAAAUUUUGUAUUUAGUUUUUAAUAAAUUUUAUCCUGUUAAUAGUUUUUUAUUAUAUUUAAUUUGCUACUUAAUUUUUUUAUACAAUUUUUUUUUUUUUUAAUAAUGAUUUAAUUAGUAUUAUGUUAUAAAUGUUUUAUUAUGAAUUCGACAAAUCUUUAUUUCCAACUGUUUAUCAAAAACAUUUCUUUUUGAUUUUUUGAAAGGUAUUUUCUGCCCUAUGGGAAAAUUGUCUAAAUGGCUGCAGUAUUUUGACUGUGCAAAGGUAGCAUAGUAAAUAGCUUCCUAAUUAGGAGCUUGUAUGAAUGGAUAUAUGAGAAAUAUGUUUUAUUAAUUUUAAUAUUAAAAUUUAAACUGUAAGUUAAAAUGCUUAGUUGAUUUUUUGGGACGAUAAGACCCUAUAGAACUUUAGAUUUUAAAUUUUAAAUAAUUUUUAAUUUACAAUUUUAGUUAGUUUUUAAAUAUUUUUGGCUGGGGUGGUUAGUAAAUUUUAACUUUACUUUUUUUAUUCAUUUAUUUUUGUAAAUAUUAUAUUGAUCCUUAUAAAAGAUUAAAAGUUUAAGUUACCUUAGGGAUAACAGCGUAAUAAUAAUGGGGAGUUCAUAUCUAUAUUAAUUUUUGCGACCUCGAUGUUGAAUUAGGAAAAAUCUAAGAAGCAGCAUUCUUAGAGUUUAGUCUGUUCGACUUAUAAAUUCUUACAUGAUUUGAGUUCAAACCGGUGUAAACCAGGUUGGUUUCUAUCUGAAAACAUAAAAUAUUUGUUUAGUACGAAAGGACCAACAAUAUAGUAUUUUAUAUUUU
rnacentral:rRNA from 1 species